AUUGUGUAUAAGUUUCAUAACAUUUGGUUGAGGCAAACUUAAGUUAGAGAACGGAAACGAAAAAUUCAGCAAUUUUUCCAUUUGUAAAUGGGCAUAACUCUAGAACAGUAAAAGUGACGCCACCCAAAUUCAAACUUGAUCUGUGUUUUGUGGUAAUAAGCAUUGUGUAUUAGUUUCAUAACAUUUGGUUGAGGUAAACUAAAGUUAGAGAACAGAAACUUAUUUUGGGACAUGCGGAUGAAUGGACAGACGGACUGACAGACAGACAAGGGUAACACUUAAUGCCCCUGUUAGCUGAGGCGGGGGGCAUAAAUAAAAUAAGGGAAAAUCUUUGUUUUGUGGCUUACUAUAAGCCUGUAACUACCUAUCUUGUACCAGUACAUUUUAUGUGCAUGUAUAUGUAGCAUUAUAUGGAGAAAUUGUUUUUCUUGUCUCUAUUCUCUUUGCUUAUGAUUGAUUUAUGCGACAAACUGUGACUAAAUCAAAGUUCUAAAAUUGGUAUUUUCAAAUGACAAAUAAAUGAAUGUAUAUCUAUUUCAGCAAACCUCUACAUGUCUUUGUAAGUGUAUGGAUCCAUAAUUCAUCAUGUGAUACUUUGAAACCUUAGUCUCUACAUGUCUUUGUAAGUGAAUGGAUCUAUAAUACAUCAUGCGAUACUUUGAAACCUUAGUCUUCCAAGGUUAAGAAUAAUUUAGCUUUCUGUAUAGAUUUAUUUAUUAAUGUUUUUUUUUCAUUUUAGCUAUAAUGUGUCUGAGCUGUAAUCAUGUAAAUUAAGAUGGUAUACAGAAAUCAAUAUCAUAAUAUAAGUAAAUAGCAUAUCAUUACAUCAACAUUUAACUGUCAUUUUAAGAAAAAUAGAAUCAUUAAGGGUAUGUUUGUCUAAUGGUUUUCAAGGUUUUUUUUUCAAGACCAUCUGCUUACUGAUUCCAGUGCAAUUAGGAAAUCUACAUUGCUACAUCUUUUCAUGUAAUAUCUGAGCUACAAUAAGUCAUUUCUAAAAUAUACCAUAUAUGCCAGACACCUUAUAUUCUCAUUAACUGGUCGAAAGUCAGGGAUUUGAUGAAAAACGAAGGUGGUAUCCAGACAACAAGAAUAAAUAUGGUAUAGCCAUAUUUUCAUGAACUCUCAGCAUAAAUAAAAUGCUCCGCUGGGCGCAGCUUCAUAUGACCGCAGAGGUCGAACCCUGAACAGUUGGGGCAAGUAUGGACACAACAUUCAAGCUUGAUACAGCACUGAAUUUGGAUUGUGAAUAAAUAUUUGACACAGCAUAGGUUUCUGACACAGAAUGAAUGUGGUCUAAGAACUUAAAAUUUUUUAAUUUACCUAUUCAAACCAUAUCAUUAUUAUUUGCUUUUAUAUAUAAAUCAGAAAUAACCAAUUUAAAAUGGAAAAUUUUAAAGAAAAAAAAAUCCCUCCCCCAAAUUUUUUGAACCCCCUUAUGAUUCAUCACCCCCAAACUCAAUCCCAGCCUUCCCUUUGUGGUAUGGUACCUUGCAGUACAAUUUCAGAGAGAUCCAUACACUUGAACACAAGUUAUUGUCUGGAAACUAGAAAAAUGCUUGUUUUUAGGCCCCUUUUUGGCCCCAAAUUCCUAAACGUUUAGGGCAAUUACCCCCAAACUCAAACCAAGCUUUCCCUUUGUGAUAUGGAACCUUGUAGUACAAUUUCAUAAAGAUCCAUACACUUACACACAAGUUAUUGUCCUGAAACUAGAAAAAUGCUUGUUUUUGCCCCUUUUUGGCCCCGACUUCCUAAAAUUUGGAGGCAAUUACCCCCAAAAUCAAUCCCAGCCUUCCCUUUGAGGUAUGGUACCUUGCAGUACAAUUUCAGAGAGAUCCAUACACUUGAACACAAGUUAUUGUCUGGAAACUAGAAAAAUGCUUAUUUUUGGCCUCUUUUUGGCCCUAUUCCUAUACGUUUUGGGCAAUUACCCCAAAACUCAAUUCCAGCUUUCCCUUUGUGAUAUGGAACCUUGUAGUACAAUUUCAGAAAAGA